rnacentral:rRNA from 1 species
ACUCAAAUGAAUAGACGGGGGCCCGCACAAGCGGUGGAUCAUGUGGUUUAAUUCGAAGCAACGCGAAGAACCUUACCUGGAUUUGACAUCCGUUGACAACCGUAGAAAUACGGCUUUUGGAGUAAUCCAACAACGAGACAGGUGCUGCAUGGCUGUCGUCAGCUCGUGGGGUGACCUGUUGGGUUAAGUCCCGCAACGAGCGCAACCCCUGUCCUUAGUUGCCAUCAUUAAGUUGGGCUCUCUAGGGAGACUGCCGUGGUUAACACGGAGGAAGGUGGGGAUGACGUCAAGUCCUCAUGGCCUUUAUAUCCAGGGCGACACACGUGAUACAAUGGACGGUACAAAGGGAUGCGAAGAGGUGACUCGGAGCUAAUCUCAAAAAACCGUUCUCAGUUCGGAUUGGAGUCUGCAACUCGACUCCAUGAAGUUGGAAUCGCUAGUAAUCGCGGAUCAGCACGCCGCGGUGAAUACGUUCCCGGGCCUUGUACACACCGCCCGU